rnacentral:rRNA from 1 species
AGGUCAGCAUACUGCCGUGAAUACGUUCCCGGGCCUUGUACACACCGCCCGUCACACCAUGAGAGUUGGGAAUACCCGAAGCCUGUGAGCUAACUUAUAGAGGCAGCAGUCGAAGGUAGAAUCAAUGAUUGGGGUGAAGUCGUAACAAGGUACC